UGGGGAAUUUUGGACAAUGGGCGAAAGCCUGAUCCAGCAAUGCCGCGUGUGUGAAGAAGGCCUUCGGGUUGUAAAGCACUUUUGUCCGGAAAGAAAUCCUUGGCUCUAAUACAGUCGGGGGAUGACGGUACCGGAAGAAUAAGCACCGGCUAACUACGUGCCAGCAGCCGCGGUAAUACGUAGGGUGCAAGCGUUAAUCGGAAUUACUGGGCGUAAAGCGUGCGCAGGCGGUUUGCUAAGACCGAUGUGAAAUCCCCGGGCUCAACCUGGGAACUGCAUUGGUGACUGGCAGGCUAGAGUAUGGCAGAGGGGGGUAGAAUUCCACGUGUAGCAGUGAAAAUGCGUAGAGAUGUGGAGGAAUACCGAUGGCGAAGGCAGCCCCCCUGGGCCAAUACUGACGCUCAUGCACGAAAAGCGUGGGGAGCAAAACAGGAUUAGAUACCCUGGUAGUCCACGCCCUAAAACGAUGUCAACUAGUUGUUGGGGAUUCAUUUCCUUAGUAACGUAGCUAACGCGUGAAGUUGACCGCCUGGGGGAGUACGGUCGCAAAGAUUAAAAACUCAAAAUGAAUUGACGGGGGUCAUAGCUG
rnacentral:rRNA from 1 species